rnacentral:rRNA from 1 species
GAUGAACGCUGGCGGCGUGCCUAAUACAUGCAAGUCGAACGAAGGUAGCAAUACCUUAGUGGCGAACGGGUGAGUAACACGUAGGUAACCUGCCUUUCAGUUGGGGAUAACCGAGGGAAACUUUGGCUAAUACCGAAUUCGUGCUUCGAAGGCAUCUUCGGAGCAUAAAAGGGGCCUUUAAAGCCUCGCUGAUUGAUGGACCUGCGGCGCAUUAGUUAGUUGGUGAGAUAACAGCCCACCAAGACGAGGAUGCGUAGCCGACCUGAGAGGGUGAACGGCCACACUGGAACUGAGACACGGUCCAGACUCCUACGGGAGGCAGCAGUAGGGAGUUUUCGGCAAUGGGGGAAACCCUGACCGAGCAACGCCGCGUGAGUGAUGAAGGUCUUCGGAUUGUAAAGCUCUGUUAUAAGGGAGAACGGCAGCUAGAGGAAAUGCUAGCUG